rnacentral:tRNA from 1 species
UCAUAGCUCAGCUGGAUAGAGCGUUGGUCUACGGAACCAAAGGUCGGGGGUUCGAAUCCCUCUGGAC